UCUUUGCUUUGUGUGCUAAAGUCAACAGUCGCUCGGUUUGAGCUCAAAUAAAUGCAGGGAUGCCUUGGCUGGGAGCAGUCCGCCGCCUCCCUCCGAGCGCAGGACGCUCCGACGCCCGCCUGCCCGCAGGCCACCGCAGGUUGGGAAUUACACAGCAAGAUGGCUUUUCUUACUCCACCAUGGCCAGAACCUCUUCUGUGGGGGCUGAAGCCCAUUGAUUUGGCUUCAUUUGGAUACAUUUCAAGGGAAUCCACUCUUUACUGAUGUCUGAAUCUGCUGAAAUCUACCCUUUUUCUUGAACAGUUUCAUGCAUAUGUAGUACAUGCAUACAGAUGCAUAUGUCAUCUAACCAACACCAUGAUCCAGGCUCAGAAGCCUUUGGCUCUAAGAAAACGACCUUGUGCCCCUUUGAUAGUCAUUGAACAUGAUCGGUAUGGAAUAAUGUUAAGGUUCUCCGAAGAGUCCUAAAUGGUUGAAGAACACCCCUCAAGAGAUGGAAAGAUUCUAAGAGCCAGAGGGAAUGGAGGACUCCAAGGAAACACAACGGGACUGAUGACCACAUGAACUCUCAGAGACUCUAGCAGCUUGCACCAGGCCUGUACAGGUUCAAGCCAGAUGGGCUCCAGCACUGAGAGGGGAAUUGGGCAUGGAUUUCUACUCCUUACCAAGAAGUUCUCUGCAGCUGAUACUGAAAUGAAGUAUCACUGAGUAUAUUAACCAUACUUCAAGGUGCUUACAGACUAAUGGUCAUGCUACAGAAAACACAAGAAGUGUAAUUAAACAAAAGUCAUAUUUAUUCAGCAGAAGACCUAUACAACCAUCUGUAACUCCAC